AGUAGCAGUGGGUCGGCUGCCUCUCCAUCCCGGAGAGGGAGCCGCCGCCGCCACCGCCACGGCCAUCGAACAUGCGGUUCUGCUCCAUACCCAAUGUCCUGCCGUCGGAGAUGGAUUGCGGCGCCGACAUUGCCGGCUUCGUCGAGACCGUCAUGACGAAGAUAGAGCUGCCGACGAAUGUUAUAGUGGCUGACGUGUUCCUGCAUUGGGCGGUGGAGGUUCGAAAUCGCAAGAAUAUUCCGUUGCCGUUGCUGUACACGUUGUCGGCAUCGGUAUUUUGAAUUAUGCAUCAUUUUUUGACCGCGCCGUCGAGAACCAACACUUUUCGGUGAAAUUGGCAGUUGUUGUUCCCAAAAAAUGAACCUGCCGUUGAAAAUUUGAAAUAUUUCAAAAUUGAGCUCGCGCCACAAGAAUAAUUAACGGCGUUGGCUUUCAUUAUCAACGUGAUUCGUUUUCCAGCGUGAGCCACAACCACGCGUCACGCAUCCAGCCGACCGGCAUAGGGCCACGUUGGAGGGACGGGCGCCGGCUCCCCUUCUGGCGCUUCUUCUCGACGGUCGAGUCUCUCUCCCUGCUCUCCCCUGGUCUCCCUCGUCUCCGGUCGAUGUAAAGCUCCCUCUCUCACGCUCUCUUCUCAAUGAUCGAGCGGACAAUCGAACCAGCUGCCUCUAGCUGCUGCCUGCCUCCGGCCGCCGCCACUGCCUUCGAUAGUUGCUGCUCGUCCCCGGUCACCGUCUUCGACCGCCCGUCUUUGAUCACCGCCUCUAACUGAAGUCGCCCGUUUCUGGCCGCCACCGUUGUCCUCUAGCCAUUGUCGUCGCCUCCGCACACUAUGGAGCAUCUUUGAGGCUUCAAAACCCCAUUGCCAUCAUUAUGGAAGACCCCAACUACUUUGUAUGGGCUCAGGCUAUGUCGAGCUUUCUCAAGUGCAGAAAGCUUUGGCGAUAUGCCACUAGCGAUAUCACCGAACCAAAGAAAAUUGAUGGUGAAGCCAAUUUGUGCGCAAGGAUCGGUGAGAAAUUCUCAGUAGAAACUUUAGCAUUUAUGUGAGCAAGAGAGCUUUUUGAAGAUUGUAAGCAAAGAGAGCUUGAUUGCUGAUUUUAAUUCUUGGUAUCUUUAAUCCUUUGUCUUGGGGGGUAUUUAUAGAGUUUAGAAAGUGUAUUUUGUGUUCCCCAAGUGACUUGGAGUGUUUCCCAAGUUUUCAUAACGUUUAGAAUUCAAAAACUCAAUUUUGGAAACUUUCCGUUACUUUUAAAAA